GCUGGCUUCGGCAGAUAGACACUAAAUCUGGAACAAUACAGAAAGAUUAACAUGGCCCUCACUCAGGAUGACUUGUAAAUUCAUGAAGCAUUUCGUGUGUGU